UUUCUCCCACGGGACGCAGCAGUGGGGAAUAUUGCGCAAUGGGCGAAAGCCUGACGCAGCGACGCCGCGUGAGGGAUGAAGGUCUUCGGAUCGUAAACCUCUGUCAGCAGGGAAGAACGGUCACUGUGCUAAUCAGCAGUGAGUUGACGGUACCUGCAAAGGAAGCACCGGCUAACUCCGUGCCAGCAGCCGCGGUAAUACGGAGGGUGCGAGCGUUAAUCGGAAUUACUGGGCGUAAAGCGCUCGUAGGCGGUAUGUCAAGUCAAGGGUGAACUCCCCGCGCUCAACGUGGGAACUGCCUUUGA
rnacentral:rRNA from 1 species